rnacentral:other from 1 species
UUAACCCUACUGUGCGCGUGAAGGCCAAUGUUUUGAGCCAACACAAUUACUGCGGGAGCCUGACUCUGAUUAUGGCGUGUAAGCCCUUGUUAAGGGACACAUAAAAUAAGCAGGAAGGCACCCACCUGCCUAGGGCAGGUUCAAAACAGCGGUGAUACGGCACGGUGGGGUUUAA